CAGUCUCGGCAAUGGAUAUCUUAGCUCUCACAUCGAUGAAGAAUAUAUUGAUAUGCGAUACUUGGUGUGAAUUGUAUAAUCCCGUGAACCAUCGAGUCUUUGAACGCAAGUUGCGCCCGAAGCCAUUAGGCCGAGGGUACGUCUGCCUGGGCGUCA
rnacentral:rRNA from 1 species